AGAGUUUGAUCCUGGCUCAGAUUGAACGCUGGCGGCAUGCCUAACACAUGCAAGUCGAACGGCAGCACAGUCGUAGCAAUACGAUGGGUGGCGAGUGGCGGACGGGUGAGUAAUGCAUCGGGAUCUACCCUGACGUGGGGGAUAACCUCGGGAAACCGGGACUAAUACCGCAUACGUCCUACGGGAGAAAGCGGGGGACCUUCGGGCCUCGCGCGGCAGGACGAACCGAUGUGCGAUUAGCUAGUUGGCGGGGUAAUGGCCCACCAAGGCGACGAUCGCUAGCUGGUCUGAGAGGAUGAUCAGCCACACUGGGACUGAGACACGGCCCAGACUCCUACGGGAGGCAGCAGUGGGGAAUAUUGGACAAUGGGCGCAAGCCUGAUCCAGCAAUGCCGCGUGUGUGAAGAAGGCCUUCGGGUUGUAAAGCACUUUUAUCAGGAGCGAAAUACCACGGGUUAAUACCC
rnacentral:rRNA from 1 species